UUUUUCUCUCAAAAAAAUAUAUAUUUUUUUUGAAUUGACUAAAACUUCGAGUUAUAUAAGUUCACUACAAGAAAUUUUGGAUCUCCUAACGUCGUUUUGCAUCGUCGGAAGAUAUGACGUUAGGAGUUAAAGCCUCUUCUGAUGCACAAACUGAGGUGUAGGGAGAGGCCCUAACUCCCGACGCUUUACUUUAUGGGAGUUAGCAUUUAAAAAACUCUCUGCUCUUCACAGAUCUGUGAAAAAGGGAAAAGGAACAAGUAGAAAUGGAGUCUGCUAGGGUUGCUCAUAUAUUUGCCGUCGGGGUCGAAGUCGUCGUCGUUGUUAGUGUCGAUGCGUCGUCAGCGUCAGUGGCUGAUCUGUCCAUUGUCGUUACUCCCUCCACCCGUGUCUCUGUCAUGAUCUCUUAGUUGGAGGUAAUUCAAAAUUUGAAAUCCUAAAU
rnacentral:lncRNA from 1 species